rnacentral:rRNA from 1 species
AACCCUUGACAUGCCGGUCGCGGGAGCCAGAGAUGGUUCCCUUCAGUUCGGCUGGACCGGACACAGGUGCUGCAUGGCUGUCGUCAGCUCGUGUCGUGAGAUGUUGGGUUAAGUCCCGCAACGAGCGCAACCCUUGCCUUUAGUUGCCAUCAUUCAGUUGGGCACUCUAAAGGGACUGCCGGUGAUAAGCCGGAGGAAGGUGGGGAUGACGUCAAGUCCUCAUGGCCCUUACGGGUUGGGCUACACACGUGCUACAAUGGCGGUGACAGAGGGCAGCGACACAGCAAUGUGAUGCUAAUCCCAAAAAGCCGUCUCAGUUCAGAUUGCACUCUGCAACUCGGGUGCAUGAAGUCGGAAUCGCUAGUAAUCGCUAAUCAGCAGGUAGCGGUGAAUACGUUCCCGGGCC